GACGUAGGGGGCGAGCGUUGUCCGGAUUUAUUGGGCGUAAAGAGCGCGUAGGCGGCCCGGAAAGUCGGAUGUGAAAACCCGGGGCUCAACCCCGGGCCUGCAUCCGAUACUCCCGGGCUGGAGGCAGGUAGGGGAGAUCGGAAUUCCGUGGUGUAGCGGUGAAAAUGCGCAGAUAUCAGGAAGAACACCAACGGCGAAGGCAGCUCGCUAGGACGGUACUGACGCUGAGACGCGAAAGCGUGGGGGAGCGAACAGG
rnacentral:rRNA from 1 species